UACGUAGGGUGCAAGCGUUAAUCGGAAUUACUGGGCGUAAAGCGUGCGCAGGCGGUUCGCUAAGACCGAUGUGAAAUCCCCGGGCUUAACCUGGGAACUGCAUUGGUGACUGGCGGGCUGGAGUAUGGCAGAGGGGGGUAGAAUUCCACGUGUAGCAGUGAAAUGCGUAGAGAUGUGGAGGAAUACCGAUGGCGAAGGCAGCCCCCUGGGCCAAUACUGACGCUCAUGCACGAAAGCGUGGGGAGCAAACAGG
rnacentral:rRNA from 1 species